CAGUCGCCGCGGGAAUACGUAGGGGGCAAGCGUUAUCCGGAAUUACUGGGUGUAAAGGGAGCGUAGACGGUUAAACAAGUCUGAAGUGAAAUGCCGGGGCUCAACCCCGGAGCUGCUUUGGGAACUGUAGAACUGGAGUGUCGGAGGGGUAAGCGGAAUUCCCAGUGUAGCGGUGAAAUGCGUAGAUAUUGGGAGGAACACCGGCGGCGAAGGCGGCUUACUGGACGACAACUGACGUUGAGGCUCGAAGGCGUGGGUAGCAAACUGGAUUAGAUACCCCCGUAGUCCCUGUCUCUUAUAC
rnacentral:rRNA from 1 species